UUUAGUGUAAUGAAUUUGAUAAGGAAUUGCUGAUAAUAAAUUUGUAAUAACUGUUGCUCCUCAAAAAGACAUUUGUCCUCAUGGUAAUACAUAUCCUAUGAAAGCUGUUGCUACAACUAAAAAUAAAAUUAGUAUUCCUACUAAUCAUGUUGGAGUAAAUAAAUAUGAUCCAUAGUAAAUACCUCGUCCCACAUGUAAAUAAAUGCAAAUAAAGAAAAAGAAUGCACCGUUGGCGUGUAAAGUUCGUAAUAAUCAGCCGUAAUUUACAUCUCGACAGAUAUGAUUAACACUAUUAAAUGCUAAAUUAAUAUCUGCUUUAUAAUGUAUAGCUAAAAAUAAUCCUGUUAAAAUUUGAAUUAUUAAACAUAAUCCAGGAAGUGAACCAAAAUUUCAUCAAGCUGAAAUAUUAAUAGUUAAUUUACAUAGUUUAAUUACAUAAGUUUAAUUACAUAGAGAGCACAUCUCAGGG